AGUGAACGCUGGCGGUAGGCCUAACACAUGCAAGUCGAACGGCAGCACAGUAAGAGCUUGCUCUUACGGGUGGCGAGUGGCGGACGGGUGAGGAAUACAUCGGAAUCUACUUUUUCGUGGGGGAUAACGUAGGGAAACUUACGCUAAUACCGCAUACGACCUACGGGUGAAAGCAGGGGAUCUUCGGACCUUGCGCGAUUGAAUUAGCCGAUGUCGGAUUAGCUAGUUGGCGGGGUAAAGGCCCACCAAGGCGACGAUCCGUAGCUGGUCUGAGAGGAUGAUCAGCCACACUGGAACUGAGACACGGUCCAGACUCCUACGGGAGGCAGCAGUGGGGAAUAUUGGACAAUGGGCGCAAACCUGAUCCAGCCAUACCGCGUGGGUGAAGAAGGCCUUCGGGUUGUAAAGCCCUUUUGUUGGGAAAGAAAAGCAGCAGGUUAAUACCCCGCUGUUCUGACGGUACCCAAAGAAUAAGCACCGGCUAACUUCGUG
rnacentral:rRNA from 1 species